UACGUAGGUGGCAAGCGUUGUCCGGAUUUACUGGGCGUAAAGAGCGCGCAGGCGGUCGUCCAAGUCGCGUGUGAAAGCCCCCCGGCUCAACUGGGGAGGGUCACGCGAUACUGUUCGACUCGAAGGCAGGAGAGGGAAGUGGAAUUCCCGGUGUAGUGGUGAAAUGCGUAGAUAUCAGGAGGAACACCAAUAGCGAAGGCAGCUCGCUGGGACGUUACUGACACUGAGGCGCGAAAGCGUGGGGAGCGAACAGG
rnacentral:rRNA from 1 species